rnacentral:sRNA from 1 species
CCGCAAUAGGGAUAGUAGUGGAAAUCCUUUUUAUAGAGAUUUGCCAAGGGAAAGAUGAGGCGAUCUCUAUAAAAAGAUUGUAGCGGAUAGCCCGACCCGCA